rnacentral:rRNA from 1 species
GAUGAACGCUAGCUACAGGCUUAACACAUGCAAGUCGCGGGGCAGCAUGGGGGUUGCUUGCAACCCCUGAUGGCGACCGGCGCACGGGUGAGUAACGCGUAUCCAACCUGCCCUUCACCACGGGAUAACCCGGCGAAAGUCGGACUAAUACCGUAUGUUGUCCAUUGACGGCAUCCGAUUUGGACGAAAGGCUUGGCGGUGUAAGGAUGGGGAUGCGUCCGAUUAGCUUGACGGCGGGGUAACGGCCCACCGUGGCUACGAUCGGUAGGGGUUCUGAGAGGAAGGUCCCCCACACUGGAACUGAGACACGGUCCAGACUCCUACGGGAGGCAGCAGUGAGGAAUAUUGGUCAAGGGGCGUAAGCCUGAACCAGCCAAGUAGCGUGCAGGAGGACGGCCCUAUGGGUUGUAAACUGCUUUUAUGCGGGGAUAAAGUGGCCCACGUGUGGGCUUUUGCAGGUACCGCAUGAAUAAGGACCGGCUAAUUCCGUG